GAAAGAGCAAAGACAGAGCUAGUUCACAACACACAUGUUUUUGUCUCCUUCUCACCAGCUUGUCUUAUCUGCCCACACUGCGGCAGUCAGAUGGGGAAACUGAGAUGGGAGGAUGAGCCUGAGACCACACAGGAAGCAAAGCCUACAGCUUCCAAGAUGAAGCAUGGAAUUCCAGACUGAGGGGCUUUACAAGUUCAUCUCUCUCCCUACAUCCAACUCAGUCUGCUCCUACAACAGAUCCCACUGCCAGAGAGACAGUAAACAGGCACUUUUAC
rnacentral:lncRNA from 1 species